rnacentral:rRNA from 1 species
GACCGGCGCACGGGUGAGUAACACGUAUGCAACCUACCUUCUACAGGGAGAUAGCCCGGAGAAAUCCGGAUUAAUACCCCAUAACACAGGGAUUCCGCAUGGAAAUAUUUGUUAAAGAUUUAUCGGUAGAAGAUGGGCAUGCGUUCCAUUAGCCAGUUGGUGAGGUAACGGCUCACCAAAGCAACGAUGGAUAGGGGAACUGAGAGGUUUAUCCCCCACACUGGUACUGAGACACGGACCAG